GAGCUAUGGAGAUGGUUCAACUUCCAGAGGCUUCCUCAUAAAUUUUUGGAAUUUUUGAGACACAGAUAAACUUCGGGCCACAGGAGGAGUUAUUUUACAGAACAACCUGUUUUCUUCCUCGCAGGUUUAACGUCAAUUAUUUAAUUGUUUUACUAUCUUUUUCUAAAUUUAAAAUCUAGAACUCCGCAUGUAUUAGAAAUAGUGUGGACCUUGGUAGAGGUUGUGUUAAUUUAAAUUUUUAAGAUUAAUAAAUGAAGAUUUGUAUGGUAUUUAAA